AUUCUUGCUUUGCUUUUGAAUUUCUUUGUAAAUUCACUUCUAAUGAUGUGUGCUUUCUUUGAGGUUUCGGUACUGUUUAUAUAGGCACAAUUCACAAGACCGGUGCAAAGAUAAUAGAAGACGACGACUGAAGAUGAUGAGUAUGGCGUCCACAAGAGCCACCGAGAACCACAACACAGGCACUUCCAAAAGCCGUUUCCUUCCUUCUUUUAAGAAAAUGGAUUCCUCAAAAUAGAAGAUGAUGGAUCAAUGCUUAUUGAAAAAUUCUUGCUUGGAUGAGAAUGUCCUUCUUCCCAUGUUGAUAUGGAU